UACGUAGGUGACAAGCGUUGUCCGGAUUUACUGGGCGUAAAGAGCGCGCAGGCGGUCGAUCAAGUCGAGUGUGAAAGCCCCCGGCUCAACUGGGGAGGGUCAUUCGAUACUGAUCGACUCGAAGGCAGGAGAGGGUAGUGGAAUUCCCGGUGUAGUGGUGAAAUGCGUAGAUAUCGGGAGGAACACCAGUGGCGAAGGCGACUACCUGGCCUGUUCUUGACGCUGAGGCGCGAAAAGCUAGGGGAGCAAACGGGGAUUAAGAA
rnacentral:rRNA from 1 species